CUUAUAAGAAUUCCUGGCCAGCUUCAAAAAUGGUCGUCAUUACGUGGCAUAUGAUGUCAAAUGGACUGGUCAAUAUGCAUGAAAACAUUUAGUUAACAUACUACCAAGUCAAGUUAGUUUUCCAGUUUCAAACAUGGUAACUUAUGCUGAAUAUUGAUUUCACUUUUCGAAUUCUUUCAAUUUUCCACAUUUCAGCUCAUGUUUGGGGACAAUCGUCUCGUCUGCAUGAAGCACUGGUAUCAUCUAGCGGUUGUUUUUAACAAUUCAGACGAUUGUCCAGUCUGCCGCUAGAUGGUAUUGAAAUUGUUUUUAAAAUGGCGAAAUGUGUGAAGAGUUUUGUCAUCUUCUGUUUUCGAAUUUUCCUGUUUUACUGCCCAAAAUCAACCAAUUAUUUACAUAAAAUGUAUACCUGCCGUCUAGUCAUUAGAUUAAAUUUGGACUCCAUUUAAAAAAACCAAUUGCUCAACCCUUCUGUGACUCACACGCUCAGCUUCAUCUGCAUCAUCCUCUCACAUCAUAGACAAAACUGCAAGCUGUUACGCCCAAAAGUUGUGGCAUUGCAUAUACAGUUACAGGUUCCUUCUUGCCUGAAAGAUGUUUACACCUUUAAACACUUUUGGUGGGGUUGUUGCGUCAUGAAAUUGUAUUGCUGCCAUUCCCUGCAUCUCCCACUUCAUAGCUACAAGAAACGAGCCUACAACAGAAAAAAGCCUACAACAGAUUGAGAUAAAGGAAUUCAUAGGUUGUGUGGUAUGCCAUUGGAUCAAUUGGAUUUCGCGAGUCAGCCGCCGAUGUCAAUCUACAACGCGGUUUCUUUGUUGGAAUUGUGUGGUCCUGGCACAGAGAUCCUUGUUGCUGGCCUUUGUCCAUUACAGAAGAGUGACUUCUACCAAAUCUCUGCUCCAUCCUUAUCUUGGCUACCCACACUCAUCUAGCUUCUUUGCUUAUUAUGCUGCUAAACAAUUUAUCGUACUUCACUACCGAGUUAGACCAGUCGCUUCAGUCCGCCUGUCACUCUCCACCGAAUUAUGCCCAGAUGAGAUGUCAAGAAGAUGGAAUUCCGAGACUCGUCAUCAACGUGGAUCAUCGCGACCGGCACCAACUACCAAGAUUCGUCAUCA